CAAGAUGCCAAAACUGUCAGGUGCCCAGGCUAGAAAAAAGAGAAAAGAAGAGGAGGAGAAACGAGAAAAGACAGAAGUAGCAGGUCCUGGAUGCUUCUAGAUAUGAUGUAUUACACAACAUCAAUGUUAUGGAUGGUUCAUCCAGGAUUCCUUGGAGCUCCUAUUUAAUUCAAACAGAAUGGGGGAAAACACGGUACUCGUAAAUGGCACGUACAACAACAACAACAACAAAGCAACAAACAUUGCUGUAGACACGAAAAUAAAUAAUGAAAUACAACCUUUACUGAGCAAAAACAAUGCACUUGAUACC